rnacentral:lncRNA from 1 species
CGUGCAAAGAUUGAUUCCACCCAAACCUUUCCACUACGGUUCCCCUCUUAAUAGUACGUCUUUCCUAUGACUCAAAUAAAGAGAAUCGUAGAGAACGUCGUGCUUCUGUUCCAUGAACGAGGAGGCGAGUCGUCUUGUGCCGUUGACGUGUGUUAUCUGAAACCUUAACACACACGGUUAGUCCUUUACGGUACUGUCAUCAAUCACCAAAAUUACUUAGGCAUAAACUAUGCCCCAACAAUCUCGCCCUUUUUGGUGGAUUGAUGACAAUACCGGAUUUGCACAGAGAGAAAUAUGAGAACUAAAAGAUAGAGAUAUAUGACAAUACGGAGCAUAUGACUCACAGCAUAUGAUGGAAAUAAAUCUCACAUAAGUUCAUGUCUCACAAACGAUAGC